ensembl:snRNA U6 U6 spliceosomal RNA
GUGUUUCCUUCUUCGGCAGCACAUAUACUAAAAUUGGAAAGAGACAGAGAUUAGCAUGGCCCCUGCGGAAGGUGACAGGCAGUCAUGAAGCGUUCUGUAUUUUU